AAGCUUUGGUCGAUAUUGUGGUACUAAGAUAAGUGGAGUACCUCCUCACUGUAACUUCUCCUUUCGAUCUCUUGCUUGUAGCAAUUGCUUCUUCUGAAGCAUCCAAUAUGAAGUUAUAGAAGUCCUGCAGUAUUUCCAUUAUAAUUUUUAUGAGCUUUUUGUUAAUUAGCAAACUAAAUCAAAUUUAUAAAUAUGUUCUCAUGAAUUAUCUUAAUUAGUAUUAGUAUGUGAAUGGGUAACGUCCAAGAACAUAUAGUAAUUACUAUUAAAGUGUCUCUAUAAAUAGUCUCUUGUAUGUGAGUGAAUCAAAUCACAUCUUUAAAAUUUAUUAUCUUCCAUAUAUUUCCAACCAAAAAUAAAAGAGUAGAAAACUUAAAUUAAAAAGAAAAAAAAAUUAAUUAAUCCUACUUUGGAAAAACAAUUUAGAAAAAUAAAUUGAUUUCUAAAAAUUUAUCAGAGCUUUCUAUAGAAUCUCCACUAUCAAUUACACUACAUUAUUUUAACAAUAUACUAUUAAUAAAUCAUGAGUGAGAGAAUAAUUCACCAAGUUUUAUAAAAAUAAACUUCAGAUCAAUACUAAUAGUAAGCUAAAAUAGCAAAAUUGAACAACAAAUGAAUUAUUCUCUAUCAAUAUGGCAAAUCAAUUCAUAAAUUUAAAGGAAAGAAAAAAAAACCAUGUAACCUAACAGAGCUCCGUUUGUUUCACGGAAAACCUUUGUGAAAAAAUGAUUUCUGAUGAAAUUAUUUUUAAUGAAAAUGCAUUGUUUUCCUUAUUUGGUUGCUAAACUGAAAAUAAGAUGAAAAGGAACGUCAUUUUCUCGACUUGAAUAAAUUUUUUUAAAAAGAUAGUUUUUUUUUAUCUUUCUUUCUUGAUACACGUAGCAUUAUAUUUAAAUAAAUAUUACAUAUUUGAUUUCUUUUGAAGAGAAAAAAAAAACACAGACAAAAUUGGAGUUGAGUUGAGAAAUAUUAUUAAAUUUGAGAGCAUAAAGAUGAAUAAGUGAUAUAUACGGAGAAAAUAAGUUCGAUGAAAAAAAUAAAGAGAAUAAAAAGUAAGCUGUAAAACAUUUGCAUCCGUCCAUCCGUUUUUAAGGUUGUGAAUAUUUUUAAAAUUUUUAUUUUGUAGAAAAACAGAGAAAAUAAAGAUUCACAUGCCCAUCUGACUUCUUCUAGAUCUCAAAUCAAGAAUAUAAAGAAAAUGAAAUUCAAGCAUUAAAAUCAUAACAAAAAAUUAAAUUCAGACAGAGGUAAUUCUACAAUGUGUUUACAUCAAACAUAAUAAAUGCAUUAAAAAUCACCAAAAUGCGCUAUACCCAAAACCCAAAACUCGUAAAAAAUCAAUCUCUUCACCACAUUGACACAAAAAAAACAUCACUCAUUAAACGCCUGAAAUAAAAAAUGAUGAAAUUGAAUGAACGCCCACUAACCUUCGACAAAAGGCAGAGGAGGAGAGAUCGUCAUUGAAUUAAAAGGGCAGUAAAAUCAAUCUCUCUCCAGCCGCAUUCACCAAAUCGUUAGGCUUCAAAAAGACCAGCUACCGAAAAUUCAGAUACACAAAAUGCAACAGAUCUAAAAGCAGAAGGUAUAUAAAUGGUGGAUCAGUGGUCGGC
rnacentral:lncRNA from 1 species